rnacentral:rRNA from 1 species
UGCCCUAGUAACGGCGAGUGAAGCGGCAACAGCUCAAAUUUGAAAUCUGGCUCUCGGGCCCGAGUUGUAAUUUGUAGAGGAUACUUUUGAUGCGGUGCCUUCCGAGUUCCCUGGAACGGGACGCCAUAGAGGGUGAGAGCCCCGUCUGGUUGGAUGCCAAAUCUCUGUAAAGUUCCUUCGACGAGUCGAGUAGUUUGGGAAUGCUGCUCUAAAUGGGAGGUAUAUGUCUUCUAAAGCUAAAUACCGGCCAGAGACCGAUAGCGCACAAGUAGAGUGAUCGAAAGAUGAAAAGCACUUUGAAAAGAGAGUUAAAAAGUACGUGAAAUUGUUGAAAGGGAAGCGUUUAUGACCAGACUUGGGCUUGGUUAAUCAUCUGGGGUUCUCCCCAGUGCACUUUUCCAGUCCAGGCCAGCAUCAGUUUUCGCCGGGGGAUAAAGACUUCGGGAAUGUGGCUCUCUUCGGGGAGUGUUAUAGCCCGUUGUGUAAUACCCUGGCGGGGACUGAGGUUCGCGCAUCUGCAAGGAUGCUGGCGUAAUGGUCAUCAACGACCCGUCUUGAAACACGGACCAAGGAGUCGUCUUCGUAUGCGAGUGUUCGGGUGUCAAACCCCUACGCGUAAUGAAAGUGAACGCAGGUGAGAGCUUCGGCGCAUCAUCGACCGAUCCUGAUGUUCUCGGAUGGAUUUGAGUAAGAGCAUACGGGGCCGGACCCGAAAGAAGGUGAACUAUGCCUGUAUAGGGUGAAGCCAGAGGAAACUCUGGUGGAGGCUCGCAGCGGUUCUGACGUGCAAAUCGAUCGUCAAAUAUGGGCA